ensembl:lncRNA uncharacterized LOC114868966
GACUUUGGCCUUCCAUGGUGUAAUUUAGGUUUUUGUACACAACUGAAGAUAAAAUAAACUGAGUUCUGUAGGUAUACCAGGUUUAAAUUCGUUGUAAGGACACAUGGCGGAGUCAAGAAACAAAAGAAAGAAGACAACUUCACAGCACGACGACCCAAACUGAACCCAACUUGGCAGAAGAAAACGUCAAGCAACAAUAUCGUGAGGUGACACUAAGCAAAAAAAUGAAACUCUAUACCUUAGGAUAAGACAGAACAUCAAAAAGAGGACAUCAACAGGCCGACAGCUGAAAAAACAUGAGCAGGAUUUAUUGAUAAAAAACUGACAAAUAGAGUAUAUUACUGACAAACAUCAGGAAACAGACGGCUGACAUGCAGAGUCAGAAGACGGCUAUUGAAAAGCAAAGAGAAGAGUUGGACAACCUGCUCAACAUGAUCAAGAAAGAAGUGAGAGAGUUGGAAGUAAUAAAUACUGAGACUGAGAUAAAGAAAAAACACCUGGUGAAAAUAAUAAGAAUGAGCAGAAGAAAAGAGAUGAAGACAAAUACUAAGGCUGCUAAGCAAAGUAUGGAAGAGGGAACAGAGCAGAAACCAGAGGUGGAAAUACAGGGCAGGAUUAAUAGGCAAAGGCCAAGUCAUGGGGAGUUUCACGGAACCAAAGAAAUAACUCAACCUAUCUCAGCAGAAGACAAUAUAGAGAUGCAGAGAAUGAUUUUGGAAAUAGAAGAGAUCAGAAGGAUGCUGCACAAGUUUAAAGAAGAUACAACUCUAAGCACUAGAAAGGAGACAACACAAAUGAAAUGGCUGAAUUUUCAUUUUAAAAAAGGGAAACAGAAGUUGGAGCAGUUCAUGGAGAAGACUACAAAAGAGAGAGAUGAGCUAGAAAUCAUAAAGAAAAGAACACAACAACAAAGGAAGGAGCUUGAACAGAAAUUGGAAGAUACUUUUAAAAGAAUUCUGACUAUAAGUGAGUUAACACAAAUGAGAAAGUUUGCUACAGAGAUAAACAACACCCGAGAAGAACUCCUAAAAACAAAAAAUGAAACACAAAACUACAAGGAAGAAGUCAAAAAAUACACAGACAAGCUGACAUCCAUGAAAACGCAGGUCAGCAGAUGGAUAUUGACAGAAUCUGCAAACAAGCCACUCUGUUUUUACCUGCAGAAACCAUCAAAAGAGAAAGACAUAAACUCUCUCAUAGGUCAAACAGCACCAAAUGCAACAAACAAAGAUGGAGCAGUACCUCAAAUAAAAGAAGGAGAUGAAGCAAUGGCUUUACAACAAUCUUUUACAGUGGAAGACCAAUAUCAAAGUGAAGAAACAAUAGAAGAAUGGAACACGCAAUCAAACUACAAGCAAGAUUUUGGAGUGGACUUUAAGGAAGAGCAGAAUUUGUUUUUACAAAUGCACAAAGACAUUCACGAAGAAUCACUGAUAGAUGAUAAAGUAAUAAUGCAUAAAACAGAAAAGGAACAAGUUAAAAAUCAACUCCUAAAAUUCAAGAACCAAAAGGAGGAAAUCAAAAAGGAAAUUAAGAACAGUAUGAAAAGCAUGAAGGGGAAACAUCAAGAAAUUGAUCAGCUCAUUAAAGAAAUAAAAGACUUUCAGAGACCAGAGAUAGAAACUGGGUUACAAACUGCAGGUAGGGAAAUAAAUAAUAUCGGCAUAGGGAAAGCUAGACUAAGAGGAAAAAUAGACAGUGACAUUUGGAGAGUAAAAAACAAUAUUUAUAAAGAACAAAUUAAAUAUGAACUCCAAAUGCAAGAAAGGGAUAAUGACAGUAAGGUGAAACAAGAAAAGAAACAUGAUUCUGAAUUGAUGACAGUGGAUGAUUAUAAAAAAAUAAUUCUUGAAUCAAAGGAGUUCCAUCCUGAGGUGACAGAUGGUUAUUCCAACAAAAAAGACACAGGAAUGGACACAGCUAGUCUACAAACACUCAGGACAGAAGUUUAUAAAACACAAAAAAUCAUGAGAUCUGUAAUUCUAAAACUUGACACCCAAAAAAGUGAAAAUGUUGGAAAAGAUUAUAAUCAACCUCAAGAUGGUGAAAUUGAGGGAUUGUUAGAGGAUGUUAAAAAGUUCCAAGAUAUUUUAAAAAUGGUGACAACUGAAGUGGUAAAAAAUGAGAUCUCUUUGAGAAACGAAAGGAGCAACAUAAAAUUUGAAGCAAAAAGACUCAAAAGAGACCUGGCUCAGAAGUUGGAGAAAAUUCUGUGUGAAAAAGAUGAAUUAGAUAUUUUUAAAAUGCAAAUAAAGAAACGAGCAGAAGCAAUUCAACAGAAGAUGGAGAAAAUGAACAAGGUUAAGAGUGCUGUGGAGGAAAUGGCUGUUAAGUCUAAAAUUAAGCAGGAAGACAUGAAGAUUAUUUUUAGGAAUACCCAAGAAAAGCUGAGACACUUAGAGGGGUGUAAUGAAAAGACUGAUGAUGCAAUACAACACCUACAAAACAGUUUUAUUUUAAUAACUAAAAGAAAAGUUCAAUUAGAAGAAACCUUAAGACUCAAAAAACAACAGGUCCAGGUGGAGGUAUACAAAGUAAAAAGUUUGAGGAACAAUAUCAAAAGUGAGACUAAGAAGCCUGGUGACAGAGUACAACCAAUAAAAAGAAAAAUAGGUCCAGAAAUAGACCUGUUGAAAUCAGAGUUUGGAAUAAAGAGACAAAAAUGCGGAAAGACAAAAGAAAAGAAAUUACUCAGGAAAGUGACCAGAAGGAAAAGAGGAUUAGAUUCAACCUUGAGACAACCAGGUAAAUUAGAACAACUAAAACCUGAGGAUCAGUGUAUUAAACAUCAAAUGAGUGAUAUCCAAUUAUUCAAACAGCAUACAUGGCUGGAAAAGCGUCAGAUAAUAAAGAUGAAUACAACUCCUGAUGAUUCAAAAGUUAUAUCUUCUGUUUUUGACCUUGAAAUCAUUAGACAAAAAAUUCAUUCAAAUUUGGAGGUAAUAAAAAAGAACACUGGACUACUAGCUGAUGUAAAUAUCCAUUUAGAAAAACAAAGAGAAUGUCUCCAAAACUUAAAAGAUCACAGUAAGGCCAUAAUAAAAUGCAUGAUAAGGAACAAAGAAACUGUUAGGGUCAAAGCAGAAAAGAAUGAGGAAGACAACCGCCAAAAAGAAAAACAAAAACUUGAAAACACACUUGAGGCAAUACGAAGAGAAAAAAAAGAGAUGGAAGUGCUGAAGGCUGAGCUGGACUUCACAAAAAAAGAAAAUCAACAAAUGAUGAGACGAGGUAUUCGAAAAGACCAUGAGGUGAAAAUGAUGUGGGCUGAGAUUAAAGAAGAAAAAGAUGCUCGCAAGAGAAAACAAAGAAGAAACAAAGAGCUUGAUGAAAAGCUAGAGAGGAUGACCAAAAAAAAAGAAGAACUGAAAAUCAUGAAGCUUAAAAUGGAAAGAGGAAAAGAUGACACAACAGGUGGAACAAGACUGUCAAGGAUAUCAAUCACUGCAAAUGUUCCAAUGCAACUUUCAUGUACGUGGGUACUUUUUUCUAAAUGGACAGAAAAGUGUAACCAAAUGAAAAGACAGAUUUCUGAUUUCUACAAGACCAAAAAUAAUGAAAAUGCUUGCAUUAAACAUGAAACAAAAAUAACAUUGCAGGCAAAAGAAGACAUUAAAAACAUCAAGGAACAAAUUACCAAACAAAAAGAAUGUAUUCAAGGUGCUUUAAAAAGUGUGAAAAAAAGGGAACAAUGUUUGAUACAUUCAGAAACAGAAAAACUGCUAAGAAACAAAAACCUUCUAGAGGUUCUAAAAGAAAAACUUCAGCAUUUGAGUGAAAGGAUGACUGGUGCCAUUGCAGACAAACUUAGGAGGCUACAAAAGGACAAUGGAAAUGUAGUGAAGCUGGUCAGUCAUUUAGAACAAGAGCAUAUCUCUCUAGAUUCCCUGAAAACACAUAUGCUUUUCUACUCUGAAAUACUGCAGAAGGCAAAAGAAGGAUACAUAUGCCUGAUAACAGACUUUGCCAGGCAACAAGAAGAAACAAGAGAUCAACUGAUGCACCAGCUUGUAUUGGAAAAGCAAGAAAGGGAAACUCUGAAAAACUGGCUGAAGAAAGACAGAGACAAUCUGGAAAGAGAGAAAAAUGGCAUGAAUCAAGAAAAAGAAAACUUGUUGCAGAAACAACAAGAGUGUGAAACCCUAAAAGACGAGCUGAAGAAAGACAGAGACAAUCUGGAAAGGGAAAAAAAUAGCAUCCAUCUAGAAAAAAGGAACUUGAUGCAGAAACAACAAGUGUAUAAAACCCUGAAAGAUGAGCUGAAAAAAGACAGAGACAGUCUGGAAAGAGAGAAAAAUAGCAUACAUCAAGAAAAAGAGAACUUGUUGCAGAAACAACAAGAGUAUGAAACCCUAAAAGACGAGCUGAAGAAAGACAAAGGGAAUGUGGAAAGAGAUAAAAAUGGCAUGAAUCAGGUAAAAGAUUACUUGACGCAGACAAUGUUUGACAUCCAGCAGCAAAUGCAAGUUUUGGAGCAAAAGUUAAGACAUAAAAAGGACAGUCUGCAAAUCACAGCAAGUCGACUAGAAAAGACAAGAACACAUGCUGACAUCCUGUGUGUUGAGGUUAACAAAGACAAAGCAAAAAAUCUGUCCCUUCAGCUUCACAAAAACAGAGACCUACUUGAGAGAGCAAAGAACACAAUUGUCAUAAAGCAAAAAGAACAACAACUGAUGGAAGAGGACAUCAAGAGACAAAUCAAAGAACUACAGUCAAGCCGGUAUGACUUGCAGAGCCAAAGACAAGAACUGGGACUUUUAAGGCAAGAUCUCAACAAUGAGAUAGAAGAGGUCCGGGCUGCAAAGGAGACCAUGAAGGUGAAAAGUGAUCAAAUAAGUCACAUGCAGACUGUCCUUGACACAGAGAGAGAAAUGCUUUGGAACCAGAAAGAUACAAUGGAAGAACAAAUAUUGAAUCUACAUAGGAGAGCUGAUCAAAUUAUGGAAUGUGAAAAGCAUCUACGGGUUCUGAGUAAAAAAAUUAAACAUGUGAGUGAGAGGAUGACUGGUGCCAUUGCAGAUAAACUUAGCAGGCUCCAAAGCGACAAUGGAAAUGUAGUGAAGAUGGUCAGUCAUUUGGAACAAGAGCAUAUCUCUCUAGAUUUCCUGAAAACACAUAUGCUUUUCUACUCUGAAAUACUGCAGAAGGCAAAGGAAGGAUACAUAUGCCUGAUAACAGACUUUGCCAGGCAACAAGAAGAAAUAAGAGAUCAACUGAUGCACCAGCUUGUAUUUGAAAAGCAAGAAAGGGAAACUCUGAAAAACUGGCUAAAGAAAGACAGAGACAAUCUGGAAAGAGAGAAAAAUGGCAUAAAUCAAGAAAAAGAAAAGUUGUUGCAGAAACAACAAGAGUAUGAAACCCUAAAAGAUGAGCUGAAGAAAGACAGAGACAAUCUGGAAAGGGAGAAAAGUAGCAUCCAUCUAGGAAAAAGGAACUUGAUGCAGAAACAACAAGUGUAUGAAACCCUGAAAGACGAGCUGAAAAAAGACAGAGACAGUCUGGAAAGAGAGAAAAAUGGCAUGAAUCAAAUGAAAGAGGACUUGAUGCAGAAACAACAAGAAUAUGAAAUACUGAAAGACGAGCUGAAGAAAGACAUAGACAAUCUGGAAAGAGAUAAAAAUAGCAUACAUCGAGAAAAAGAGAACUUGUUGCAGAAACAACAAGUGUAUGAAACCCUGAAAGACGAGCUGAAGAAAGACAAAGGGAAUGUGGAAAGAGAUAAAAAUGGCAUGAAUCGAGUAAAAGAUUACUUGACGCAGAAAAUGUCCGACAUCCAGCAGCAAAUGCAAGUGUUGAAGCAAAGGUUAAGAGAUGAAAAGGACAGUCUGCAAAUCACAGCAAGUCGACUAGAAAAGACAAGAACACAUGCUGACAUCCUGUGUGUUGAGGUUAACAAAGACAAAGCAAAAAAUCUGUCCCUUCAGCUUCACAAAACCAGAGAGCUACUUGAGAAAGCUAAGAACACAAUUGUCAUAAAGCAAAAAGAACAACAACUGAUGGAAGAGGACAUCAAGAGACAAAUCAAAGAACUACAGUCAAGCCGGUAUGACUUGCAGAGCCAAAGACAAGAACUGGGACUUUUAAGGCAAGAUCUCAACACUGAGAUAGAAGAGGUCUGGGCUGCAAAGGAGACCAUGAAGGUGAAAAGUGAUCAAAUAAGUCACAUGCAGACUGUCCUUGACACAGAGAGAGAAAUGCUUUGGAACCAGAAAGAUACAAUGGAAGAACAAACAUUGAAUCUACAUAGGAGAGCUGAUCAAAUUAUGGAAUGUGAAAAGCAUCUACGGGUUCUGAGUGAAAAAAUUAAGCAUUUGAGUGAGAGGAUGACUGGUGCCAUUGCAGAUAAACUUAGCAGGCUCCAAAACGACAAUGGAAAUGUAGUGAAGAUGGUCAGUCGUUUGGAACAAGAGCAUAUCUCUCUAGAUUCCCUGAAAACACAUAUGCUUUUCUACUCUGAAAUACUGCAGAAGGCAAAGGAAGGAUACAUAUGCCUGAUAACAGACUUUGCCAGGCAACAAGAAGAAAUAAGAGAUCAACUGAUGCACCAGCUUGUAUUGGAAAAGCAAGAAAGGGAAACUCUGAAAAACUGGCUGAAGAAAGACAGAGACAAUCUGGAAAGAGAGAAAAAUGGCAUGAAUCAAGAAAAAGAAAACUUGUUGCAGAAACAACAAGAGUGUGAAACCCUAAAAGACGAGUUGAAGAAAGACAGAGACAAUCUGGAAAGGGAGAAAAAUAGCAUCCAUCUAGAAACAAGGAACUUGAUGCAGAAACAACAAGUGUAUGAAACCCUAAAAGACGAGCUGAAAAAAGACAGAGACAGUCUGGAAAGAGAGAAAAAUGGCAUGAAUCAAACGAAAGAGGACUUGAUGCAGAAACAACAAGAAUAUGAAAUCCUGAAAGACGAGCUGAAGAAAGACAAAGGGAAUGUGGAAAGAGAUAAAAAUGGCAUGAAUCAAGUAAAAGAUUACUUGAAGCAGAAAAUGUCCGACAUCCAGCAGCAAAUGCAAGUGUUGGAGCAAAAGUUAAGAGAUGAAAAGGAUAGUCUGCGAAUCACAGCAAGUCGACUAGAAAAGACAAGAACACAUGCUGACAUCCUGUUUGUUGAGGUUAACAAAGAUAAAGCAAAACAUCUGUCCCUUCAGCGUCACACAACCAGAGACCUACUUGAGAGAGCAAAGAACACAAUUGUCAUAAAGCAAAAAGAACAACAACUGAUUGAAGAGGACAUCAAGAGACAAAUCAAAGAACUACAGUCAAGCCGGUAUGACUUGCAGAGCCAAAGACAAGAACUGGGACUUUUAAGGCAAGAUCUCAACAAUGAGAUAGAAGAGGUCCGGGUCGCAAAGGAGACCAUGAAGGUAAAAAGAGACCAAAUAGGUCAUAUGCAGACUGUUCCUGACACAGAGAGAGAAAUACUUUGGAACCAGAAAGAUACAAUGGAAAAACAAAGAUUGACUCUACAUAGAAAAGCUGAUCAAAUGACAGAAUCUGAAAAGCAUCUAGGGGAUCUAAGAGAAAAAAUUAAGCAUGUGAGUGAGAGAAUGACUGGUGAUAUUGCAGAUAAACUUAGCAGGCUCCAACAGGACAAUGGAAAAGUAGUGAAGCUGGUCAGUCGUUUGGAACAAGAGCAUAUCUCUCUAGAUUCCCUGAAAACACAUAUGCUUUUCUACUCUGAAAUACUGCAGAAGGCAAAGGAAGGAUACAUAUGCCUGAUAACAGACUUUGCCAGGCAACAAGAAGAAAUAAGAGAUCAACUGAUGCACCAGCUUGUAUUGGAAAAGCAAGAAAGGGAAACUCUGAAAAACUGGCUGAAGAAAGACAGAGACAAUCUGGAAAGAGAGAAAAAUGGCAUGAAUCAAGUAAAAGAAAACUUGUUGCAGAAACAACAAGAGUGUGAAACCCUAAAAGACGAGCUGAAGAAAGACAGAGACAAUCUGGAAAGGGAGAAAAAUAGCAUUCAUCUAGAAACAAGGAACUUGAUGCAGAAACAACAAGAGUAUGAAACCCUAAAAGACGAGCUGAAAAAAGACAGAGACAGUCUGGAAAGAGAGAAAAAUGGCAUGAAUCAAACGAAAGAGGACUUGAUGCAGAAACAACAAGAAUAUGAAAUCCUGAAAGACGAGCUGAAGAAAGACAAAGGGAAUGUGGAAAGAGAUAAAAAUGGCAUGAAUCAAGUAAAAGAUUACUUGAAGCAGAAAAUGUCCGACAUCCAGCAGCAAAUGCAAGUGUUGGAGCAAAAGUUAAGAGAUGAAAAGGAUAGUCUGCGAAUCACAGCAAGUCGACUAGAAAAGACAAGAACACAUGCUGACAUCCUGUUUGUUGAGGUUAACAAAGAUAAAGCAAAACAUCUGUCCCUUCAGCGUCACACAACCAGAGACCUACUUGAGAGAGCAAAGAACACAAUUGUCAUAAAGCAAAAAGAACAACAACUGAUGGAAGAGGACAUCAAGAGACAAAUCAAAGAACUACAGUCAAGCCGGUAUGACUUGCAGAGCCAAAGACAAGAACUGGGACUUUUAAGGCAAGAUCUCAACAAUGAGAUAGAAGAGGUCCGGGUCGCAAAGGAGACCAUGAAGGUAAAAAGAGACCAAAUAGGUCAUAUGCAGACUGUUCCUGACACAGAGAGAGAAAUACUUUGGAACCAGAAAGAUACAAUGGAAAAACAAAGAUUGACUCUACAUAGAAAAGCUGAUCAAAUGACAGAAUCUGAAAAGCAUCUAGGGGAUCUAAGAGAAAAAAUUAAGCAUGUGAGUGAGAGAAUGACUGGUGAUAUUGCAGAUAAACUUAGCAGGCUCCAACAGGACAAUGGAAAAGUAGUGAAGCUGGUCAGUCGUUUGGAACAAGAGCAUAUCUCUCUAGAUUCCCUGAAAACACAUAUGCUUUUCUACUCUGAAAUACUGCAGAAGGCAAAGGAAGGAUACAUAUGCCUGAUAACAGACUUUGCCAGGCAACAAGAAGAAAUAAGAGAUCAACUGAUGCACCAGCUUGUAUUGGAAAAGCAAGAAAGGGAAACUCUGAAAAACUGGCUGAAGAAAGACAGAGACAAUCUGGAAAGAGAGAAAAAUGGCAUGAAUCAAGUAAAAGAAAACUUGUUGCAGAAACAACAAGAGUGUGAAACCCUAAAAGACGAGCUGAAGAAAGACAGAGACAAUCUGGAAAGGGAGAAAAAUAGCAUCCAUCUAGAAAAAAGGAACUUGAUGCAGAAACAACAAGAGUAUGAAACCCUAAAAGACGAGCUGAAAAAAGACAGAGACAGUCUGGAAAGAGAGAAAAAUGGCAUGAAUCAAACGAAAGAGGACUUGAUGCAGAAACAACAAGAAUAUGAAAUCCUGAAAGACGAGCUGAAGAAAGACAAAGGGAAUGUGGAAAGAGAUAAAAAUGGCAUGAAUCAAGUAAAAGAUUACUUGAAGCAGAAAAUGUCCGACAUCCAGCAGCAAAUGCAAGUGUUGGAGCAAAAGUUAAGAGAUGAAAAGGAUAGUCUGCGAAUCACAGCAAGUCGACUAGAAAAGACAAGAACACAUGCUGACAUCCUGUCUGUUGAGGUUAACAAAGAUAAAGCAAAACAUCUGUCCCUUCAGCGUCACACAACCAGAGACCUACUUGAGAGAGCAAAGAACACAAUUGUCAUAAAGCAAAAAGAACAACAACUGAUGGAAGAGGACAUCAAGAGACAAAUCAAAGAACUACAGUCAAGCCGGUAUGACUUGCAGAGCCAAAGACAAGAACUGGGACUUUUAAUGCAAGAUCUCAACACUGAGAUAGAAGAGGUCCGGGUCGCAAAGGAGACCAUGAAGGUAAAAAGAGACCAAAUAGGUCAUAUGCAGACUGUUCCUGACACAGAGAGAGAAAUACUUUGGAACCAGAAAGAUACAAUGGAAAAACAAAGAUUGACUCUACAUAGAAAAGCUGAUCAAAUGACAGAAUCUGAAAAGCAUCUAGGGGAUCUGAGAGAAAAAAUUAAGCAUGUGAGUGAGAGAAUGACUGGUGAUAUUGCAGAUAAACUUAGCAGGCUCCAACAGGACAAUGGAAAAGUAGUGAAGCUGGUCAGUCGUUUGGAACAAGAGCAUAUCUCUCUAGAUUCCCUGAAAACACAUAUGCUUUUCUACUCUGAAAUACUGCAGAAGGCAAAGGAAGGAUACAUAUGCCUGAUAACAGACUUUGCCAGGCAACAAGAAGAAAUAAGAGAUCAACUGAUGCACCAGCUUGUAUUGGAAAAGCAAGAAAGGGAAACUCUGAAAAACUGGCUGAAGAAAGACAGAGACAAUCUGGAAAGAGAGAAAAAUGGCAUGAAUCAAGAAAAAGAAAACUUGUUGCAGAAACAACAAGAGUGUGAAACCCUAAAAGACGAGCUGAAGAAAGACAGAGACAAUCUGGAAAGGGAGAAAAAUAGCAUCCAUCUAGAAAAAAGGAACUUGAUGCAGAAACAACAAGAGUAUGAAACCCUAAAAGACGAGCUGAAAAAAGACAGAGACAGUCUGGAAAGAGAGAAAAAUGGCAUGAAUCAAACGAAAGAGGACUUGAUGCAGAAACAACAAGAAUAUGAAAUCCUGAAAGACGAGCUGAAGAAAGACAAAGGGAAUGUGGAAAGAGAUAAAAAUGGCAUGAAUCAAGUAAAAGAUUACUUGAAGCAGAAAAUGUCCGACAUCCAGCAGCAAAUGCAAGUGUUGGAGCAAAAGUUAAGAGAUGAAAAGGAUAGUCUGCGAAUCACAGCAAGUCGACUAGAAAAGACAAGAACACAUGCUGACAUCCUGUCUGUUGAGGUUAACAAAGAUAAAGCAAAACAUCUGUCCCUUCAGCGUCACACAACCAGAGACCUACUUGAGAGAGCAAAGAACACAAUUGUCAUAAAGCAAAAAGAACAACAACUGAUGGAAGAGGACAUCAAGAGACAAAUCAAAGAACUACAGUCAAGCCGGUAUGACUUGCAGAGCCAAAGACAAGAACUGGGACUUUUAAUGCAAGAUCUCAACACUGAGAUAGAAGAGGUCCGGGUCGCAAAGGAGACCAUGAAGGUAAAAAGAGACCAAAUAGGUCAUAUGCAGACUGUUCCUGACACAGAGAGAGAAAUACUUUGGAACCAGAAAGAUACAAUGGAAAAACAAAGAUUGACUCUACAUAGAAAAGCUGAUCAAAUGACAGAAUCUGAAAAGCAUCUAGGGGAUCUGAGAGAAAAAAUUAAGCAUGUGAGUGAGAGAAUGACUGGUGAUAUUGCAGAUAAACUUAGCAGGCUCCAACAGGACAAUGGAAAAGUAGUGAAGCUGGUCAGUCGUUUGGAACAAGAGCAUAUCUCUCUAGAUUCCCUGAAAACACAUAUGCUUUUCUACUCUGAAAUACUGCAGAAGGCAAAGGAAGGAUACAUAUGCCUGAUAACAGACUUUGCCAGGCAACAAGAAGAAAUAAGAGAUCAACUGAUGCACCAGCUUGUAUUGGAAAAGCAAGAAAGGGAAACUCUGAAAAACUGGCUGAAGAAAGACAGAGACAAUCUGGAAAGAGAGAAAAAUGGCAUGAAUCAAGAAAAAGAAAACUUGUUGCAGAAACAACAAGAGUGUGAAACCCUAAAAGACGAGCUGAAGAAAGACAGAGACAAUCUGGAAAGGGAGAAAAAUAGCAUCCAUCUAGAAAAAAGGAACUUGAUGCAGAAACAACAAGAGUAUGAAACCCUAAAAGACGAGCUGAAGAAAGACAAAGGGAAUGUGGAAAGAGAUAAAAAUGGCAUGAAUCAAGUAAAAGAUUACUUGACGCAGAAAAUGUCCGACAUCCAGCAGCAAAUGCAAGUGUUGAAGCAAAGGUUAAGAGAUGAAAAGGACAGUCUGCAAAUCACAGCAAGUCGACUAGAAAAGACAAGAACACAUGCUGACAUCCUGUGUGUUGAGGUUAACAAAGACAAAGCAAAAAAUCUGUCCCUUCAGCUUCACAAAACCAGAGACCUACUUGAGAAAGCUAAGAACACAAUUGUCAUAAAGCAAAAAGAACAACAACUGAUGGAAGAGGACAUCAAGAGACAAAUCAAAGAACUACAGUCAAGCCGGUAUGACUUGCAGAGACAAAGACAAGAACUGGGACUUUUAAGGCAAGAUCUCAACAAUGAGAUAGAAGAGGUCCGGGCUGCAAAGGAGACCAUGAAGGUGAAAAGUGAUCAAAUAAGUCACAUGCAGACUGUCCUUGACACAGAGAGAGAAAUGCUUUGGAACCAGAAAGAUACAAUGGAAGAACAAAUAUUGAAUCUACAUAGGAGAGCUGAUCAAAUUAUGGAAUGUGAAAAGCAUCUACGGGUUCUGAAUGAAAAAAUUAAGCAUUUGAGUGAGAGGAUGACUGGUGCCAUUGCAGAUAAACUUAGCAGGCUCCAAAACGACAAUGGAAAUGUAGUGAAGAUGGUCAGUCAUUUGCAACAAGAGCAUAUCUCUCUAGAUUCCCUGAAAACACAUAUGCUUUUCUACUCUGAAAUACUGCAGAAGGCAAAGGAAGGAUACAUAUGCCUGAUAACAGACUUUGCCAGGCAACAAGAAGAAAUAAGAGAUCAACUGAUGCACCAGCUUGUAUUGGAAAAGCAAGAAAGGGAAACUCUGAAAAACUGGCUGAAGAAAGACAGAGACAAUCUGGAAAGAGAGAAAAAUGGCAUGAAUCAAGAAAAAGAAAACUUGUUGCAGAAACAACAAGAGUGUGAAACCCUAAAAGACGAGCUGAAGAAAGACAGAGACAAUCUGGAAAGGGAGAAAAAUAGCAUCCAUCUAGAAAGAAGGAACUUGAUGCAGAAACAACAAGAGUAUGAAACCCUAAAAGACGAGCUGAAAAAAGACAGAGACAGUCUGGAAAGAGAGAGAAAUGGCAUGAAUCAAAUGAAAGAGGGCUUGAUGCAGAAACAACAAGAAUAUGAAAUCCUGAAAGACGAGCUGAAGAAAGACAAAGGGAAUGUGGAAAGAGAUAAAAAUGGCAUGAAUCAAGUAAAAGAUUACUUGAAGCAGAAAAUGUCCGACAUCCAGCAGCAAAUGCAAGUGUUGGAGCAAAAGUUAAGAGAUGAAAAGGAUAGUCUGCGAAUCACAGCAAGUCGACUAGAAAAGACAAGAACACAUGCUGACAUCCUGUUUGUUGAGGUUAACAAAGAUAAAGCAAAACAUCUGUCCCUUCAGCUUCACACAACCAGAGACCUACUUGAGAGAGCAAAGAACACAAUUGUCAUAAAGCAAAAAGAACAACAACUGAUGGAAGAGGACAUCAAGAGACAAAUCAAAGAACUGCAGUCAAGCCGGUAUGACUUGCAGAGCCAAAGACAAGAACUGGGACUUUUAAGGCAAGAUCUCAACAAUGAGAUAGAAGAGGUCCGGGCUGCAAAGGAGACCAUGAAGGUGAAAAGUGAUCAAAUAAGUCACAUGCAGACUGUCCUUGACACAGAGAGAGAAAUGCUUUGGAACCAGAAAGAUACAAUGGAAGAACAAAUAUUGAAUCUACAUAGGAGAGCUGAUCAAAUUAUGGAAUGCGAAAAGCAUCUACGGGUUCUGAGUGAAAAAAUUAAGCAUGUGAGUGAGAGGAUGACUGGUGCCAUUGCAGAUAAACUUAGCAGGCUCCAAAGCGACAAUGGAAAUGUAGUGAAGAUGGUCAGUCAUUUGGAACAAGAGCAUAUCUCUCUAGAUUCCCUGAAAACACAUAUGCUUUUCUACUCUGAAAUACUGCAGAAGGCAAAGGAAGGAUACAUAUGCCUGAUAACAGACUUUGCCAGGCAACAAGAAGAAAUAAGAGAUCAACUGAUGCACCAGCUUGUAUUGGAAAAGCAAGAAAGGGAAACUCUGAAAAACUGGCUGAAGAAAGACAGAGACAAUCUGGAAAGAGAGAAAAAUGGCAUGAAUCAAGAAAAAGAAAACCUGUUGCAGAAACGACAAGAGUGUGAAACCCUAAAAGACGAGCUGAAGAAAGACAGAGACAAUCUGGAAAGGGAGAAAAAUAGCAUCCAUCUAGAAAAAAGGAACUUGAUGCAGAAACAACAAGAGUAUGAAACCCUAAAAGACGAGCUGAAAAAAGACAGAGACAGUCUGGAAAGAGAGAGAAAUGGCAUGAAUCAAAUGAAAGAGGGCUUGAUGCAGAAACAACAAGAAUAUGAAAUCCUGAAAGACGAGCUGAAGAAAGACAAAGGGAAUGUGGAAAGAGAUAAAAAUGGCAUGAAUCAAGUAAAAGAUUACUUGAAGCAGAAAAUGUCCGACAUCCAGCAGCAAAUGCAAGUGUUGGAGCAAAAGUUAAGAGAUGAAAAGGAUAGUCUGCGAAUCACAGCAAGUCGACUAGAAAAGACAAGAACACAUGCUGACAUCCUGUUUGUUGAGGUUAACAAAGAUAAAGCAAAACAUCUGUCCCUUCAGCUUCACACAACCAGAGACCUACUUGAGAGAGCAAAGAACACAAUUGUCAUAAAGCAAAAAGAACAACAACUGAUGGAAGAGGACAUCAAGAGACAAAUCAAAGAACUGCAGUCAAGCCGGUAUGACUUGCAGAGCCAAAGACAAGAACUGGGACUUUUAAGGCAAGAUCUCAACAAUGAGAUAGAAGAGGUCCGGGCUGCAAAGGAGACCAUGAAGGUGAAAAGUGAUCAAAUAAGUCACAUGCAGACUGUCCUUGACACAGAGAGAGAAAUGCUUUGGAACCAGAAAGAUACAAUGGAAGAACAAAUAUUGAAUCUACAUAGGAGAGCUGAUCAAAUUAUGGAAUGCGAAAAGCAUCUACGGGUUCUGAGUGAAAAAAUUAAGCAUGUGAGUGAGAGGAUGACUGGUGCCAUUGCAGAUAAACUUAGCAGGCUCCAAAGCGACAAUGGAAAUGUAGUGAAGAUGGUCAGUCAUUUGGAACAAGAGCAUAUCUCUCUAGAUUCCCUGAAAACACAUAUGCUUUUCUACUCUGAAAUACUGCAGAAGGCAAAGGAAGGAUACAUAUGCCUGAUAACAGACUUUGCCAGGCAACAAGAAGAAAUAAGAGAUCAACUGAUGCACCAGCUUGUAUUGGAAAAGCAAGAAAGGGAAACUCUGAAAAACUGGCUGAAGAAAGACAGAGACAAUCUGGAAAGAGAGAAAAAUGGCAUGAAUCAAGAAAAAGAAAACUUGUUGCAGAAACAACAAGAGUGUGAAACCCUAAAAGACGAGCUGAAGAAAGACAGAGACAAUCUGGAAAGGGAGAAAAAUAGCAUCCAUCUAGAAAAAAGGAACUUGAUGCAGAAACAACAAGAGUAUGAAACCCUAAAAGACGAGCUGAAAAAAGACAGAGACAGUCUGGAAAGAGAGAGAAAUGGCAUGAAUCAAAUGAAAGAGGGCUUGAUGCAGAAACAACAAGAAUAUGAAAUCCUGAAAGACGAGCUGAAGAAAGACAAAGGGAAUGUGGAAAGAGAUAAAAAUGGCAUGAAUCAAGUAAAAGAUUACUUGAAGCAGAAAAUGUCCGACAUCCAGCAGCAAAUGCAAGUGUUGGAGCAAAAGUUAAGAGAUGAAAAGGAUAGUCUGCGAAUCACAGCAAGUCGACUAGAAAAGACAAGAACACAUGCUGACAUCCUGUUUGUUGAGGUUAACAAAGAUAAAGCAAAACAUCUGUCCCUUCAGCUUCACACAACCAGAGACCUACUUGAGAGAGCAAAGAACACAAUUGUCAUAAAGCAAAAAGAACAACAACUGAUGGAAGAGGACAUCAAGAGACAAAUCAAAGAACUGCAGUCAAGCCGGUAUGACUUGCAGAGCCAAAGACAAGAACUGGGACUUUUAAGGCAAGAUCUCAACAAUGAGAUAGAAGAGGUCCGGGCUGCAAAGGAGACCAUGAAGGUGAAAAGUGAUCAAAUAAGUCACAUGCAGACUGUCCUUGACACAGAGAGAGAAAUGCUUUGGAACCAGAAAGAUACAAUGGAAGAACAAAUAUUAAAUCUACAUAGGAGAGCUGAUCAAAUUAUGGAAUGCGAAAAGCAUCUACGGGUUCUGAGUGAAAAAAUUAAGCAUGUGAGUGAGAGGAUGACUGGUGCCAUUGCAGAUAAACUUAGCAGGCUCCAAAGCGACAAUGGAAAUGUAGUGAAGAUGGUCAGUCAUUUGGAACAAGAGCAUAUCUCUCUAGAUUCCCUGAAAACACAUAUGCUUUUCUACUCUGAAAUACUGCAGAAGGCAAAGGAAGGAUACAUAUGCCUGAUAACAGACUUUGCCAGGCAACAAGAAGAAAUAAGAGAUCAACUGAUGCACCAGCUUGUAUUGGAAAAGCAAGAAAGGGAAACUCUGAAAAACUGGCUGAAGAAAGACAGAGACAAUCUGGAAAGAGAGAAAAAUGGCAUGAAUCAAGAAAAAGAAAACUUGUUGCAGAAACAACAAAAGUGUGAAACCCUAAAAGACGAGCUGAAGAAAGACAGAGACAAUCUGGAAAGGGAGAAAAAUAGCAUCCAUCUAGAAAAAAGGAACUUGAUGCAGAAACAACAAGAGUAUGAAACCCUAAAAGACGAGCUGAAGAAAGACAGAGACAAUCUGGAAAGGGAGAAAAAUAGCAUCCAUCUAGAAAAAAGGAACUUGAUGCAGAAACAACAAGAGUAUGAAACCCUAAAAGACGAGCUGAAAAAAGACAGAGACAGUCUGGAAAGACAGAAAAAUGGCAUGAAUCAAAUGAAAGAGGACUUGAUGCAGAAACAACAAGAAUAUGAAAUCCUGAAAGACGAGCUGAAGAAAGACAAAGGGAAUGUGGAAAGAGAUAAAAAUGGCAUGAAUCAAGUAAAAGAUUACUUGACGCAGAAAAUGUCCGACAUCCAGCAGCAAAUGCAAGUGUUGAAGCAAAGGUUAAAAUAUGAAAAGGACAGUCUGCAAAUCACAGCAAGUCGACUAGAAAAGACAAGAACACAUGCUGACAUCCUGUGUGUUGAGGUAAACAAACACAAAGCAAAAAAUCUGUCCCUUCAGCUUCACAAAACCAGAGACCUACUUGAGAAAGCUAAGAACACAAUUGUCAUAAAGCAAAAAGAACAACAACUGAUGGAAGAGGACAUCAAGAGACAAAUCAAAGAACUACAGUCAAGCCGGUAUGACUUGCAGAGCCAAAGACAAGAACUGGGACUUUUAAGGCAAGAUCUCAACAAUGAGAUAGAAGAGGUCCGGGCUGCAAAGGAGACCAUGAAGGUGAAAAGUGAUCAAAUAAGUCACAUGCAGACUGUCCUUGACACAGAGAGAGAAAUGCUUUGGAACCAGAAAGAUACAAUGGAAGAACAAAUAUUAAAUCUACAUAGGAGAGCUGAUCAAAUUAUGGAAUGCGAAAAGCAUCUACGGGUUCUGAGUGAAAAAAUUAAGCAUGUGAGUGAGAGGAUGACUGGUGCCAUUGCAGAUAAACUUAGCAGGCUCCAAAGCGACAAUGGAAAUGUAGUGAAGAUGGUCAGUCAUUUGGAACAAGAGCAUAUCUCUCUAGAUUCCCUGAAAACACAUAUGCUUUUCUACUCUGAAAUACUGCAGAAGGCAAAGGAAGGAUACAUAUGCCUGAUAACAGACUUUGCCAGGCAACAAGAAGAAAUAAGAGAUCAACUGAUGCACCAGCUUGUAUUGGAAAAGCAAGAAAGGGAAACUCUGAAAAACUGGCUGAAGAAAGACAGAGACAAUCUGGAAAGAGAGAAAAAUGGCAUGAAUCAAGAAAAAGAAAACUUGUUGCAGAAACAACAAGAGUGUGAAACCCUAAAAGACGAGCUGAAGAAAGACAGAGACAAUCUGGAAAGGGAGAAAAAUAGCAUCCAUCUAGAAAAAAGGAACUUGAUGCAGAAACAACAAGAGUAUGAAACCCUAAAAGACGAGCUGAAGAAAGACAGAGACAAUCUGGAAAGGGAGAAAAAUAGCAUCCAUCUAGAAAAAAGGAACUUGAUGCAGAAACAACAAGAGUAUGAAACCCUAAAAGACGAGCUGAAAAAAGACAGAGACAGUCUGGAAAGACAGAAAAAUGGCAUGAAUCAAAUGAAAGAGGACUUGAUGCAGAAACAACAAGAAUAUGAAAUCCUGAAAGACGAGCUGAAGAAAGACAAAGGGAAUGUGGAAAGAGAUAAAAAUGGCAUGAAUCAAGUAAAAGAUUACUUGACGCAGAAAAUGUCCGACAUCCAGCAGCAAAUGCAAGUGUUGAAGCAAAGGUUAAGAUAUGAAAAGGACAGUCUGCAAAUCACAGCAAGUCGACUAGAAAAGACAAGAACACAUGCUGACAUCCUGUGUGUUGAGGUAAACAAACACAAAGCAAAAAAUCUGUCCCUUCAGCUUCACAAAACCAGAGACCUACUUGAGAAAGCUAAGAACACAAUUGUCAUAAAGCAAAAAGAACAACAACUGAUGGAAGAGGACAUCAAGAGACAAAUCAAAGAACUACAGUCAAGCCGGUAUGACUGGCAGAGCCAAAGACAAGAACUGGGACUUUUAAGGCAAGAUCUCAACAAUGAGAUAGAAGAGGUCCGGGCUGCAAAGGAGACCAUGAAGGUGAAAAGUGAUCAAAUAAGUCACAUGCAGACUGUCCUUGACACAGAGAGAGAAAUGCUUUGGAACCAGAAAGAUACAAUGGAAGAACAAAUAUUGAAUCUACAUAGGAGAGCUGAUCAAAUUAUGGAAUGCGAAAAGCAUCUACGGGUUCUGAGUGAAAAAAUUAAGCAUGUGAGUGAGAGGAUGACUGGUGCAAUUGCAGAUGACCUUAGCAGGCUCCAAAACGACAAUGGAAAUGUAGUGAAGAUGGUCAGUCAUUUGCAACAAGAGCACAUCUCUCUAGAUUCCCUGAAAACACAUAUGCUUUUCUACUCUGAAAUACUGCAGAAGGCAAAGGAAGGAUACAAAUGCCUGAUAACAGACUUUGCCAGGCAACAAGAAGAAAUAAGAGAUCAACUGGUGCACCAGCUUGUAUUGAAAAAGCAAGAAAGGGAAACUCUGAAAAACUGGCUGAAGAAAGACAGAGACAAUCUGGAAAGAGAGAAAAAUGGCAUGAAUCAAGAAAAAGAAAACUUGUUGCAGAAACAACAAGAGUAUGAAACCCUAAAAGACAAGCUGAAGAAAGACAGAGACAAUCUGGAAAGGGAGAAAAAUAGCAUCCAUCUAGAAAAAAGGAACUUGAUGCAGAAACAACAAGAGUAUGAAAUCCUGAAAGACGAGCUGAAGAAAGACAAAGGGAAUGUGGAAAGAGAUAAAAAUGGCAUGAAUCAAGUAAAAGAUUACUUGAAGCAGAAAAUGUCCGACAUCCAGCAGCAAAUGCAAGUGUUGGAGCAAAAGUUAAGAGAUGAAAAGGAUAGUCUGCGAAUCACAGCAAGUCGACUAGAAAAGACAAGAACACAUGCUGACAUCCUGUGUGUUGAGGUUAACAAAGACAAAGCAAAAAAUCUGUCCCUUCAGCUUCACAAAACCAGAGACCUACUUGAGAAAGCUAAGAACACAAUUGUCAUAAAGCAAAAAGAACAACAACUGAUGGAAGAGGACAUCAAGAGACAAAUCAAAGAACUACAGUCAAGCCGGUAUGACUUGCAGAGCCAAAGACAAGAACUGGGACUUUUAAGGCAAGAUCUCAACAAUGAGAUAGAAGAGGUCCGGGCUGCAAAGGAGACCAUGAAGGUGAAAAGUGAUCAAAUAAGUCACAUGCAGACUGUCCUUGACACAGAGAGAGAAAUGCUUUGGAACCAGAAAGAUACAAUGGAAGAACAAAUAUUGAAUCUACAUAGGAGAGCUGAUCAAAUUAUGGAAUGCGAAAAGCAUCUACAGGUUCUGAGUGAAAAAAUUAAGCAUGUGAGUGAGAGGAUGACUGGUGCCAUUGCAGAUAAACUUAGCAGGCUCCAAAGCGACAAUGGAAAUGUAGUGAAGAUGGUCAGUCAUUUGGAACAAGAGCAUAUCUCUCUAGAUUCCCUGAAAACACAUAUGCUUUUCUACUCUGAAAUACUGCAGAAGGCAAAGGAAGGAUACAUAUGCCUGAUAACAGACUUUGCCAGGCAACAAGAAGAAAUAAGAGAUCAACUGAUGCACCAGCUUGUAUUGGAAAAGCAAGAAAGGGAAACUCUGAAAAACUGGCUGAAGAAAGACAGAGACAAUCUGGAAAGAGAGAAAAAUGGCAUGAAUCAAGAAAAAGAAAACUUGUUGCAGAAACAACAAGAGUGUGAAACCCUAAAAGACGAGCUGAAGAAAGACAGAGACAAUCUGGAAAGGGAAAAAAAUAGCAUCCAUCUAGAAAAAAGGAACUUGAUGCAGAAAACAACAAGAGUAUGA